rnacentral:rRNA from 1 species
UGGGGGAAUAUUGCACAAUGGGCGAAAGCCUGAUGCAGCAACGCCGCGUGAGUGAUGAAGGUCUUCGGAUUGUAAAGCUCUGUCUUUUGGGACGAUAAUGACGGUACCAAAGGAGGAAGCCACGGCUAACUACGUGCCAGCAGCCGCGGUAAUACGUAGGUGGCGAGCGUUGUCCGGAUUUACUGGGCGUAAAGGGUGCGUAGGCGGAUGUUUAAGUGAGAUGUGAAAUACCCGGGCUUAACUUGGGUGCUGCAUUUCAAACUGGAUAUCUAGAGUGCAGGAGAGGAGAAUGGAAUUCCUAGUGUAGCGGUGAAAUGCGUAGAGAUUAGGAAGAACACCAGUGGCGAAGGCGAUUCUCUGGACUGUAACUGACGCUGAGGCACGAAAGCGUGGGUAGCAAACAGGAUUAGAUACCCUGGUAGUCCACGCCGUAAACGAUGAGUACUAGGUGUAGGAGGUAUCGACCCCUUCUGUGCCGCAGUAAACACAUUAAGUACUCCGCCUGGGAAGUACGAUCGCAAGAUUAAAAC